rnacentral:rRNA from 1 species
GAUGAACGCUGGCGGCGUGCCUAACACAUGCAAGUCGAGCGGACGGACGAGAAGCUUGCUUCUCUGAUGUUAGCGGCGGACGGGUGAGUAACACGUGGAUAACCUACCUAUAAGACUGGGAUAAUUUCGGGAAACCGGAGCUAAUAACGGAUAAUAUUUUGAACCGCAUGGUGCAAAAGUGAAAGACGGUUUUGCUGUAACUUAUAGAUGGAUCCGCGCUGCAUUAGCUAGUUGGUAAGGUAACGGCUUACCAAGGCAACGAUGCAUAGCCGACCGGAGAGGAUGAUCGGCCACACUGGAACUGAGACACGGUCCAGACUCCUACGGGAGGCAGCAGUAGGGAAUCUUCCGCAAUGGGCGAAAGCCUGACGCAGCAACGCCGCGUGAGUGAUGAAGGUCUUCGGAUCGUAAAACUCUGUUAUUAGGGAAGAACAUAUGUGUAAGUAACUGUGCACAUCUUGACGGUACCUAAUCAGAAAGCCCCGGCUAACUACGUG